rnacentral:rRNA from 1 species
GAUGAACGCUGGCGGCGUGCCUAAUACAUGCAAGUCGAGCGCAGCGUGGACAGGUGAGUAACACGUGGAUAACCUCCUUUAAGUCUGGGAUAACUUCGGGUAACAGGUGCUAAACCGGCUACUUAUAUAUGGAUCCGCGCUGCAUUAGCUAGUUGGUACGGUAACGGCUUACCAAGGCCACGAUGCAUAGCCGACCUGAGAGGGUGAUCGGCCACACUGGAACUGAGACACGGUCCAGACUCCUACGGGAGGCAGCAGUAGGGAAUCUUCCGCAAUGGGCGAAAGCCUGACGGAGCAACGCCGCGUGAGUGAUGAAGGUCUUCGGAUCGUAAAACUCUGUUAUUAGGGAAGCGGUACCUAAUCAGAAAGCCACGGCUAACUACGUGCCAGCAGCCGCGGUAAUUC